rnacentral:rRNA from 1 species
UACGUAGGGCGCAAGCGUUGUCCGGAAUUAUUGGGCGUAAAGGGCUCGUAGGCGGUUUGUCGCGUCGGGAGUGAAAACCAGGUGCUUAACACCUGGCUUGCUUUCGAUACGGGCAGACUAGAGGUAUUCAGGGGAGAAUGGAAUUCCUGGUGUAGCGGUGAAAUGCGCAGAUAUCAGGAGGAACACCGGUGGCGAAGGCGGCGACCUGGUCCGACACUGACGCUGAGGCGCGAAAGCGUGGGGAGCAAACAGG